rnacentral:rRNA from 1 species
UACGGAGGAUCCGAGCGUUAUCCGGAUUUAUUGGGUUUAAAGGGUGCGUAGGCGGCCUUGUAAGUCAGGUGUGAAAGACGGUAGCUCAACUCUCGCAGUGCCUUUGAUACUGCAGGGCUUGAAUGUACUUGAGGUAGGCGGAAUGUGACAAGUAGCGGUGAAAUGCAUAGAUAUGUCACAGAACACCAAUUGCGAAGGCAGCUUACUAAAGUAUGAUUGACGCUGAGGCACGAAAGCGUGGGGAUCAAACAGG